UUUGGUGUGGCAGAGCCAAGGUAAAUGCAAGAGACUUAAACCCUCUUACCAGACGUUCAAGCCGUCUCACCAAAA
rnacentral:tRNA from 1 species